GACGAACGCUGGCGGCGUGCUUAACACAUGCAAGUCGAGCGGUAAGGCCCUUUCGGGGGUACGACGAGCGGCGAACGGGUGAGUAACACGUGGGUGACCUGCCCUCAGCCCUGGGAUAAGCCUGGGAAACCGGGUCUAAUACUGGAUAUGACUCCAUGACGCAUGUUGUGGGGUGGAAAGCCUUGUGCGGCUGAGGAUGGGCCCGCGGCCUAUCAGCUUGUUGGUGGGGUGANGGCCUACCAAGGCGACGACGGGUAGCCGGCCUGAGAGGGCGACCGGCCACACUGGGACUGAGACACGGCCCAGACUCCUACGGGAGGCAGCAGUGGGGAAUCUUGCGCAAUGGGCGAAAGCCUGACGCAGCGACGCCGCGUGAGGGAUGACGGCCU
rnacentral:rRNA from 1 species